rnacentral:rRNA from 1 species
UACAGAGGGUGCUAGCGUUGUUCGGAAUCAUUGGGCGUAAAGGGCGCGUAGGCGGCCUGGUAAGUAGGGGGUGAAAUCCUGCGGCUUAACCGCAGGGCUGCCUUCUAAACUGUCAGGCUCGAGCACAGUAGAGGCAGGUGGAAUUCCCGGUGUAGCGGUGGAAUGCGUAGAGAUCGGGAAGAACAUCAGUGGCGAAGGCGGCCUGCUGGGCUGUUGCUGACGCUGAGGCGCGACAGCGUGGGGAGCAAACAGG